rnacentral:lncRNA from 1 species
UCGGGAGUGGGGGAAUGGGUCAGAUGCAAGCACAGAAUCUCCCCCAUGGCGGCGUCUAGUGCCUCUGUUAAGAUCGCGCUCUGAGAAACAACGCUGGCAUUCAAAUCCAGCUUUUUGGAGACCACGGCAUAUUUCUUCAUGAAACCAAAACUUGGAGAGAAGGAGGUGUCCCCAAAUGCUUUCUUCAGUAUCUGGCAUGAAUUCAGCUCUGACUUUAAAGACUUCUGGAAGAAAGAGAACAAACUUCUUCUACAAGAGAGAGUAAAAGAAGCCGAAGAGGUGUGUAGACAGAAGAAAGGAAAAUCACUUUAUAAAAUAAAACCAAGACAUGACUCUGGAAUUAAAGCAAAGAUAAGCAUGAAAACUUGAACAAUGAAAAGCAGAAUGAAAAUGAGUCAUUGCAACGACUUUCACAAAAUUCAGCUGACCUGAGAGUGGGAGGGAAACUACCGUCAUUCUGCUCAUGUUUCUUCUUGACCUCUUGCAUAAUCUUUUUGUUUUCUAGACAGUUCACUAAUUGUUGAAUUUUACUGUAUAUUCAUAUAAAAAUGCAAACGUACUAGACCAGUGGAGAAUUUGACACCUUUUCUUUUUGUAAAAGUUUAUGGUAUUAUACCGAUAGACCAAAACAGCAUGUGUAAGAGGCAGUAUCUGCACUAAUUCUCAACAUGCUAAACAUUAACUACAAUUCACUGUUGUGAGAAUAUUCCUCGUCACAGCAAAAACACUUUCCUUUCUACUGACAACCAGUCCUCCACAUCACAGCAUUUAGACAUAUGGGUAAAAUGUUAUUUCUAGUGAAUUGUUUGUAUCAGUUUCAUGUCUAAGUAUAAAUUUUCUAUUUUAAAAUUUAAGAACCGUUUAUAAUCAGUGCUUUCCCAACUCUUGGGUUGCUCUCCAUAACUAUGUAUUUGUGAAAGAAAAUGGUCAUUUUUUUUACUGAAGUCAUAUAAUGACUUGGGUCAGCUCGUAAUGCAUUGUGAUGGUUUUGUAUGAGCUGGGUGUUUUUUUCCAUUACUUUUAAUGAUCUUCGUUGCAAGUUAUAGUUGUGGAUAAAGGGGAGAAUUUAUUGCUCUUGCAAACCAAUUAUGGAAAGCAACUUAAGAAAACCAAUGUUCUAAAUCAUAAUUGUUUGUAUUUAUGUAAAGUAUGGUCUCUUACUUUUUAGUUUGUAGUUUAAGUGCAAAGAAACAGUAGUGGUUUUUUUUCUAUUGUUUUGUAGUCUUCCUGUCCCCUUCAGUCCCUCCAGUGUGUAUAUUACCAUUCUCCAAUGAAAUAAUAGGGCAUUUAACAAAGAUCGCUAUGUGCAAUACUGUAUUUAGUGUUUCUAUUUCAAUUUUUCUAGGAUGUUAAUUUAUAUGAAAAUAAAAUGAAUAAUAAAAGAAUAAAG